rnacentral:lncRNA from 1 species
AUGCCUGUGCAUAAUGUGCAUAACAAAGCAUCAUUAUUUUCAUUAUCUUCAAAGGAAUUCUGUAGAAGCAGCCUUUAUUUUCAGACUCUGCAGGCCUGCUGGGAGGAAACAUAUUACAAUAAACAGGCCUGGGAAGUAAACACUUGCCUAAAAAUGAUGGACAUAGAGCACGAGUGGCUCCGCCACUCCAUGCACCCCACCUCGCCUGCUGACAUCGAUCCUAAGGUCCACAGCAUCGUGGAAAGUGCUGUGAGAAGCAUUCUGGGCAAGCAGUCCAAUGAGCCCCGUAGCAACCUGCCCAGCCCAUCUCAGGUGGUGGUGGAGGUGGUUCCCAGGCUCCUCCUGGCCCUGUGGCUGCAGCCAGAAGAAGGACAUUCAGAGCUCCCAAUCCUAAUAAGCGGGAUGGCCGUGGGCAUGUUGGCGGCCGUAGUGGAGAAGCUCUCCUGCAUGUUAAAGGACCCUUCCCCUCACAUCCUUUUCUCCCGGGCUGCUGCUUUUGACUCUGUGUGGUCGAUCCUCGGGAGAAUCAGUCAGUCCUUCUCCACCGAUGACCUCCAGAGCCCUUUUUAUAUGAGCUCUGUCUGUGCCUUUGUGGCGGACGAGGUGCAGAGCUGCUUCCAGCCCCCUGCAGCCACCCUACCAGUCCCCCCGUCCUCGCGGUGGCCGUUUCCACCACACUACCAGCUGGCAUCCAAGCAGACCCGGCUUCUUCCAACCUUGAGGUUGAAGACAUCACCCCUAACACAGAGGCAGAUCCGGCUUCUUUCCACCUGGAGGUUGAGGACAUCACCCCUAAGACAGAGGCAGACCCGGCAUCUUCCCACCUGGAGGUUGUGGACAUCACCCCUAACACAGAGGCAGAUCCAGCUUCUUUCCACCUGA